rnacentral:rRNA from 1 species
UACGUAGGGUGCAAGCGUUGCCCGGAUUUAUUGGGCGUAAAGGGCGCGCAGGCGGCCGAGCACGUCCGUUGUGAAAUCGCCUGGCUCAACUGGGCGGGGUCAGCGGAUACGGCUAGGCUGGAGCAAGCUAGGGGCAAUGGAAUUCCGGUGUAGCGGUGAAAUGCGUAGAGAUCGGAAAGAACACCAACGGCGGAAAGCACUCUCGCCUGGGCCGAACACUGACACUGGAGAGACGGAAAGCCUAGGGG